UACGUAGGGUGCGAGCGUUGUCCGGAAUUAUUGGGCGUAAAGAGCUCGUAGGCGGUGUGUCGCGUCGGCCGUGAAAACCUGGGGCUCAACUCUGGGCGUGCGGUCGAUACGGGCAUCACUUGAGUUCGGCAGGGGAGACUGGAAUUCCUGGUGUAGCGGUGAAAUGCGCAGAUAUCAGGAGGAACACCGGUGGCGAAGGCGGCCUGCUGGGCUAUGGCUGACACUGAGGCGCGACAGCGUGGGGGAGCAAACAGG
rnacentral:rRNA from 1 species